CACCUGACCACCACAUAAGGAUGCCAUCACCUCUAUAGAUGAGAGGUUCAACUUUUCCAGAUUGAAGAAGAUUGUUUAAUCGGAAAAUUGGCGAGCACAGAUUUACUCAGUGCCAAAUCAAGAAAAAAAAAGAGCUUGGUCAGCAAAUUAAGAAUGCUGUCCUGGACGUGGGAUAUGUUCAAUACUAAGUUUAAAAACGCUUUCAGUUCAACCAAAGGUAAAGCUGUCAUGCAGGGAAGAAGCCGUGUGAACAUGAUCCAGAAACCAUCCAUCUUCUCUAGGACAAAGCUCUUUAAAAAUGAACUGAGGAGAAGUCGAAAACUGUUCUGUGGUCAGAUGAAUUGAAAUUUGAGAUCCUUUUUCGAGACUAUGCACACAUGCUGUUCCUAUGUUUUGAGCCGUGUUGUGGCCUUCAAUUAUAAAAUUACCUUUUUUUUACUAGAAAAAUUCUACAUUUCCUCAGUGUAAACAUUUGGUUUUUUUUUAUGUUCUACUGUGAAUAAAAUAUGAAUUUGUGAGAUUUGCAAA